CAUUCUUCUUCCCACUACCUUCACGGCCUCAGUCAGGACUGUUUUGCUCUGCGCCAACGUAACACCGAUUGCGCAGUCAGCUCUCAAACAGGGCUUCAGAACCAGGCAGCAGGAGCACAGGAAAGCACGGAGAGUGUUACAGGACAUGUAAGUGUGCUCCCUGCAUUGGUGUUUGUCUGGCAGUGUGCCUGGACUGCUGAGCGUGAGCCACUGCUCCAUAUCAGAGCAGGAGAGUUUCCCUGACAGUGGUGGGCCUGGAGGCAGAAGGAGUCCCAUGUGAUGCGGUCGUUGCCACGAACCUACGUUGCUUGUCUACAGAAGAGAGAGGAGCUGAAGACAUUUGCAGAGCUGAUACAUGAUGGAGAGACUGCUGCAGCAUCAACACCAAAUAAGUGUGUUUCUAUAGAGGAGAAGGAACCUGAGAUGAAAUGAGCACAGAUGCCCCAGCCUGACACUCUAUCCUCAUGGUGCGGAGGUGCUCUGCAGCAGGAAACUCUUCUGGUGUUGACUUGGCUGCACAGGUUAUCUGUGUAUACCCACAGCUGGAUGUCUCAAUGCCUCUCAGCAUUUGCAGCUGAACCGCCUCAUGUUUCCUUUGCCUUGUGAGGCCUCAAGGUAAUUCAGGAAUUGGAAGCUGGAGAGAAGCACUGUGCCUGGUUGUCCCACUUCCUCCUUGUCCUGUUUGUCUUCUGCAUCCCAGAAGAAUGUUGACACCACAGUGAAAUGUUGGUAUCGCCAUGGAUUUUGUUGUUUUCACCCAAGCAGAAAGAUAAGUGGAUGGGUGAUCUUAUGAGGACAGGAGUCUGAACAGCUGAUAUAAAAUGUAUUAUGAAAAGAUCCAGGG
ensembl:lncRNA